UCCAUUUUCUUUGAAGUAGGAAAAGGAAAAGUAGGAAAAGGAAAGAGAGUGGCCAUUUCAAAUGCAAAAUAUUUUUGGCCUGAGGGAGAGUUGGGGGAAAAAGUUGCUUUCCCCAACAUCAAUUACUUAUGGAAAAAAUUCCUCCACCAGGACAAAGGGAGGCAACAGCUCUCAUUCCACUCAGAGGUGUCGGAAGAUCUGUUGAAGACUCCUGUCCAUUGACCAGAGUAUAUACUCCUGGCUCCAGCCCACGGGGAGUCCUGAAACACUGGAUACAACAGAGAAAUAAAGAAGACAAUGGAACAUAUUAAAUGACGACGUGGACAUUUAAUCAGCAAAAUGUUGUUGCAAAAUUUAGAGGACAAAUGACCAAUUUCUUCAACACAUAAAUGGAUAGACUAAAAGAAAGAAAUGGAGUAGAGAUGGGGUCUCGCUCUUGCUCAAGCUGAGCUCAAA